rnacentral:rRNA from 1 species
GACGAACGCUGGCGGCGUGCUUAACACAUGCAAGUCGAACGGAAAGGCCCUGCUUUUGUGGGGUGCUCGAGUGGCGAACGGGUGAGUAACACGUGAGUAACCUGCCCUUGACUUUGGGAUAACUUCAGGAAACUGGGGCUAAUACCGGAUAGGAGCUCCUGCUGCAUGGUGGGUGUUGGAAAGUUUCGGCGGUUGGGGAUGGACUCGCGGCUUAUCAGCUUGUUGGUGGGGUAGUGGCUUACCAAGGCUUUGACGGGUAGCCGGCCUGAGAGGGUGACCGGCCACAUUGGGACUGAGAUACGGCCCAGACUCCUACGGGAGGCAGCAGUGGGGAAUAUUGCACAAUGGGCGGAAGCCUGAUGCAGCAACGCCGCGUGCGGGAUGACGGCCUUCGGGUUGUAAACCGCUUUCGCCUGUGACGAAGCGUGAGUGACGGUAAUGGGUAAAGAAGCACCGGCUAACUACGUG